rnacentral:rRNA from 1 species
AGUGAACGCUGGCGGUAGGCCUAACACAUGCAAGUCGAACGGCAGCACAGUAAGAGCUUGCUCUUACGGGUGGCGAGUGGCGGACGGGUGAGGAAUACAUCGGAAUCUACUUUUUCGUGGGUGAUAACGUAGGGAAACUUACGCUAAUACCGCAUACGACCUACGGGUGAAAGCAGGGGAUCUUCGGACCUUGCGCGAUUGAAUGAGCCGAUGUCGGAUUAGCUAGUUGGCGGGGUAAAGGCCCACCAAGGCGACGAUCCGUAGCUGGUCUGAGAGGAUGAUCAGCCACACUGGAACUGAGACACGGUCCAGACUCCUACGGGAGGCAGCAGUGGGGAAUAUUGGACAAUGGGCGCAAGCCUGAUCCAGCCAUACCGCGUGGGUGAAGAAGGCCUUCGGGUUGUAAAGCCCUUUUGUUAGGAAAGAAAAGCAGCAGGAUAAUACCCCGCUGUUCUGACGGUACCCAAAGAAUAAGCACCGGCUAACUUCGUG